rnacentral:rRNA from 1 species
UACGUAGGGUGCGAGCGUUGUCCGGAAUUAUUGGGCGUAAAGAGCUCGUAGGCGGCCUGUCGCGUCGGAUGUGAAAGCCCGGGGGCUUAACCCCCGGGUCUGCAUUCGAUACGGGCAGGCUAGAGUUCGGUAGGGGAGAUCGGAAUUCCUGGUGUAGCGGUGAAAUGCGCAGAUAUCAGGAGGAACACCGGUGGCGAAGGCGGGUCUCUGGGCCGUAACUGACGCUGAGGAGCGAAAGCAUGGGGAGCGAACAGG